rnacentral:rRNA from 1 species
AGAGUUUGAUCCUGGCUCAGGAUGAACGCUGGCGGCGUGCUUAACACAUGCAAGUCGAACGGGAAACCUUUUAUUGAAGCUUCGGCAGAUUUAGAUUGUUUCUAGUGGCGGACGGGUGAGUAACGCGUGGGUAACCUGCCUUGUACAGGGGGAUAACAGUCAGAAAUGACUGCUAAUACCGCAUAAGCGCACAGGACCGCAUGGUCCGGUGUGAAAAACUCCGGUGGUAUAAGAUGGACCCGCGUUGGAUUAGCUAGUUGGUGAGGUAACGGCCCACCAAGGCGACGAUCCAUAGCCGGCCUGAGAGGGUGAACGGCCACAUUGGACUGAGACACGGCCCAGACUCCUACGGGAGGCAGCAGUGGGGAAUAUUGCACAAUGGGGGAAACCCUGAUGCAGCGACGCCGCGUGAAGGAAGAAGUAUCUCGGUAUGUAAACUUCUAUCAGCAGGGAAGAAAAUGACGGUACCUGACUAAGAAGCCCCGGCUAACUACGUGCCAGCAGCCGCGGUAAUACGUAGGGGGCAAGCGUUAUCCGGGUUUACUGGGUGUAAAGGGAGCGUAGACGGAUGGACAAGUCUGAUGUGAAAGGCUGGGGCUCAACCCCGGGACUGCAUUGGAAACUGCCCGUCUUGAGUGCCGGAGAGGUAAGCGGAAUUCCUAGUGUAGCGGCGAAAUGCGUAGAUAUUAGGAGGAACACCAGUGGCGAAGGCGGCUUACUGGACGGUAACUGACGUUGAGGCUCGAAAGCGUGGGGAGCAAACAGGAUUAGAUACCCUGGUAGUCCACGCGGUAAACGAUGAAUACUAGGUGUCGGGGAGCAAAGCUUUUAAUGCCUCAGCAAACGCAUUAAGCAUUCCACCUGGAGAGUACGUUCGCAAGAAUAAAAGUCAAAGGAAUUGACGGGGACCCGCACAAACGGUGGAGCAUGAAGGUUUAAUUAGAAGCAACGCGAAGGAACCUUACCAAGUCUUGACAUCCCUCUGACCGAGUCUUAACCGAGUCUUUCGUUCGGGACAGAGGAGACAGGUGGUGCAUGGUUGUCGUCAGCUAGUGUCGUGAGAUGUUGGGUUAAGUCCCGCAACGAGCGCAACCCCUAUCCUCAGUAGCCAGCAUUUAAGGUGGGCACUCUGUGGAGACUGCCAGGGAUAACCUGGAGGAAGGCGGGGAUGACGUCAAAUCAUCAUGCCCCAUAUGAUUUGGGCUACACACGUGCUACAAUGGCGUAAACAAAGGGAAGCGAACCUGCGAGGGUGGGCAAAUCCCAAAAAUAACGUCCCAGUUCGGACUGUAGUCUGCAACCCGACUACACGAAGCUGGAAUAGGGGAGUAAUCGCGGAUCAGAAUUCCGCGGU